rnacentral:rRNA from 1 species
GCAAGUCGAGUGCGCGUCCGUAGCAAUACGGAUGGCGCACGGCGCACGGGUGCGUAACACGUGGGCAAUCUGCCCUUCGAUGGGGAAUAACUCCGGGAAACCGAAGCUAAUUCCGCAUAACAUUCCCUGGACCCCAGUUCGGGGAAUCAAAGCAGUGAUGCGUCGGAGGAGGAGCCCGCGCCCGAUUAGCUAGUUGGCAGGGUAACGGCCUACCAAGGCUAUGAUCGGUAGCUGGUCUGAGAGGAUGGCCAGCCACACUGGAACUGAGACACGGUCCAGACUCCUACGGGAGGCAGCAGUGGGGAAUCUUGCGCAAUGGGCGAAAGCCUGACGCAGCGACGCCGCGUGGGGGAUGAAGCUUCUCGGAGUGUAAACCCCUUUCGACUGGGACGAAUGCCCGCAAGGGAGUGACGGUACCAGUAGAAGAAGCCCCGGCUAACUACGUGCCAGCAGCCGCGGUAAGACGUAGGGGGCCAGCGUUGUUCGGAAUUACUGGGUGUAAAGGGUUCGUAGGCGGUGUGGCAAGUCGGGAGUGAAAUCUUUGGGCUUAACUCAAAGGCUGCUUCCGAAACUGCUGUGCUGGAGUGUGGGAGAGGCGCGUGGAAUUGCAGGUGUAGCGGUGAAAUGCGU